rnacentral:rRNA from 1 species
UACGGAGGGUGCAAGCGUUAUCCGGAUUCACUGGGUUUAAAGGGUGCGUAGGCGGAUAGGUAAGUCCGUGGUGAAAUCCUGCAGCUUAACUGCAGAACUGCCAUGGAUACUAUUUAUCUUGAAUGUCGUGGAGGUUAGCAGAAUAUGUCAUGUAGCGGUGAAAUGCUUGAUAUGACAUAGAAUACCCAUUGCGAAGGCAGCUAACUACGCGAUAAUUGACGCUGAUGCACGAAAGCGUGGGGAUCAAACAGG